GGCGGGGGAAGCUCAUCAGCGGGGCCACGCGCUGAGUGCUCGUCACUCCAUCGGCCCCUGGGAAGGUCUGAGACUGGGGCCUCCCGCGGCCCUAACCGGGCCCUCCCCGAGUGGGGAGGUGAGUUCCCAGAGAGCAGGGCUCCACGCGUGGGCAGACUGGGCAGAAAAUACCCUGAGUGAGGUAAGCCAGACACAAAAGAACACACAUGGUUUGUACUCACUGAUAAGUCGAUAUUAGCCCGAAAGCUCAAAAUGCC
ensembl:ribozyme RNaseP_nuc Nuclear RNase P